UACUCCGCCGCUUCCAUGUUUCUGGUUCCCUUCACCCUUUAUUUGCUCGUGCUUCAUAUCCAGGUCAUUAACAUUCUUCAUCCAUGGAAAAGGAGGAGAUAUAUCAGCUCACAAAGAUGUGAAAUCCGGUGGAGGUAUUUGGACUUCAAGAUGAACUUUUUGUUGGAUUUAACCAUGACACUCCUUCUGGAGGCUUGAGUCUUUCAACAUUUAAAAGAAAAGGAAAGUGAUUCAGAAAUAGAGGUAUGUGCAACAGCCGAUUCAACCAUUAAUGGAUGUUGCAAGAACAUGUAAGAUUUCUAAGUCACUUUUCCUUUGAGGUAUGCCCUAUUUUUGUGGUUUUAGAUAAUGGAAGUUGUUUCUAAUGUUUGGAUUCAGAUUUGAGUAAUACUGUAAUUACUCUCUGUUAAGUUGUUAAUACGCUGAAGUGUUAA